AUGGAAUGUUAUAAAAAGUAUGGAGAAGUGUGGGGGAUUUAUGAUGGUCGACAGCCUGUGCUGGCUAUCGCAGAUCCCAACAUAAUCAAAACAGUGCUAGUGAAAGAAUGUUAUUCUGUCUUCGCUAACCGGAGGUCUUUCGGUCCAGUGGGAUUUAUGAAAAGUGCCAUCUCUAUAGCUACGGAUGAUAAAUGGAAGAAAAUAUGAUCAUUGCUGUCUCCAAUCUUCACCAGUGGAAAACUCAAGGAGUCCCUAUCUUUGCCCAGUAUGGAGAGGUGUUGGUGAAAAACCUGAGGCGGGAAGCAGAGAAAGGCAAGGAAUCAACAUGAAAGACAUCUUUGGGGCCUACAGCAUGGAUGUGAUCACUGACACGUCAUUUGGAGUGAACAACAACUCUCUCAACAAUCCACAAGACCCCUUUGUGGAAAGCACCAAGAAGCUUUUAAGAUUUGAUGUUUCAGAUCCAUUCUUUCUCUCAAUAACAAUCUUUCCAUUCCUUACCCCAAUUCUUGAAGCAUUAAAUAUUUCUGUGUUUCCAAGAGAUUCUACAAGUUUUUUAAGAAAAUCUAUAAAAAGGAUAAAAGAAAGUCGUCUCAAAGAUACACAUAAGCACCGAGUGGAUUUCCUUCAGCUGAUGAUUGACUCCCAGAAUUCGAAAGAAACUGAGUCCCACAAAGCUCUGUCUGAUCUGGAGCUCAUGGCCCAAUCAAUUAUCUUCAUUUUUACUGGCUAUGAAACCACCAGCAGUAGUCUUUUCUUCGUUAUGUAUGAACUGGCCACUCACCCUGAUGUCCAGCAGAAACCGCAGGAGGAAAUUGAUGCAGUUUUACCCAACAAGGCACCAGCCACCUAUGAUACUGUGCUACAGAUGGAGUAUCUUGACAUGGUGGUGAAUGAAACACUCAGAUUAUUCCCACUUGCUAUGAGACUUGAGAGGAUCUGCAAAAAAGAUGUUGAAAUCAAUGGGAUGUUGAUUCCCAAAGGGGUAGUGGUGAUGAAUCCAAGCUAUGCUCUUCACUAUGACCCAAAGUACUGGACAGAGACUGAGAAGUUCCUCCCUGAAAGGUUCAGUAAGAAUAACAAGGACAACACAGAUAGCACAUAUACACAUCCUUUAGAACUGGACCCAGAAACUGCAUUGGCAUGAGGUUUGCUCUCAUGAACAUGGUACUUGCUCUAAUCAGAGUCCUUCAGAACUUGUCCUUCAAACCUUGUAAAGAAAUACAGAUCCCCCUGAAAUUAUGCUUAGGAGGACUUCUUCAAACAGAAAAACCUAUUGUUCUAAAGGUUGAGUCAAGGGAUGGGACUGUAAGUGGAACCUGAAUUUCGCUAAGGACUUCUGCUUUGCUCUUGAAGAAAGCUGUGCCUCAGAACAUCGAGACCUCAAAUUACUUUCUGAACAGAACCUUGAAAUAAAGGUGGGCUUAAUAAAAAACAAAAAAAAAAUCCCUUUUUUUUUUUUUGCUUUUAAAAUAUUUAUUGAGCAGAGAAAAAGAAAGGGAGCUAAAAAGAUAAAAUAGAUGUUGAGUUAACAGCUUUCUUCCAAGUUCUGGCGGACUUCAGACUUUAAAUGUGUGGCUCAAACUUCAAUUCUCCAGCUGGCCCUGAUGGAGGAAUUCCUUGUUGUAAUUUUUUUUGUUCAGUCUGCUGUAUGACCUGAUGAUAUUCCAGCUUCUGAGCCUCCAGUUGAUCGUGCUGAUGCCGUAGCUCUUCCUUUUGUUUCUGAAGCUCAUUUUCUUGUAAAGCAAUAAUAUUUUUGUAUUCUUUUAGUUCUUCCUCUGUGAAGAACUGUUGCUGAUCUAAUGUCUCCCAGCUAUCUGGCCCCAAGAAUUCUUUUUUUUCUGUGGCUUUCAAAAACUCCUCCAGAGUCACCAAACGGUCUUUGUUGGUAUCAACCUCAUUCAUUGCAUGUUCCCUCAUUGUAAGCCUUUCUUCUUCCAUU